UACGGGGGGGGCAAGCGUUGUUCGGAAUUACUGGGCGUAAAGGGCUUGUAGGUGGCUAAUUAAGUCAGACGUGAAAUCCCUCAGCUUAACUGGGGAACUGCGUCUGAUACUGGUUGGCUUGAGUGCAGGAGAGGAAUGCGGAAUUCCAGGUGUAGCGGUGAAAUGCGUAGAUAUCUGGAGGAACACCGGUGGCGAAGGCGGCGUUCUGGACUGCAACUGACACUGAGAAACGAAAGCCAGGGGAGCAAACGGG
rnacentral:rRNA from 1 species